rnacentral:rRNA from 1 species
AGAGUUUGAUUAUGGCUCAGGAUGAACGCUAGCUACAGGCUUAACACAUGCAAGUCGAGGGGCAGCAUUGGGAUAGCUUGCUAUUCAGAUGGCGACCGGCGCACGGGUGAGUAACGCGUAUCCAACCUUCCUGCCAGUAGGGAACAGCCCGGCGAAAGUCGGAUUAAUGCCCUAUGUUCUUCAAUGCGGACAUCUAAGUUGAAGGAAAGAUUCAUCGCUGGCAGAUGGGGAUGCGUCCGAUUAGCUUGCCGGCGGGGUAACGGCCCACCGGGGCGACGAUCGGUAGGGGUUCUGAGAGGAAGGUCCCCCACACUGGUACUGAGACACGGACCAGACUCCUACGGGAGGCAGCAGUGAGGAAUAUUGGUCAAUGGGCGUAAGCCUGAACCAGCCAAGUAGCGUGCAGGACGACGGCCCUACGGGUUGUAAACUGCUUUUAUGCGGGGAUAAAGUGCGGCACGUGUGCCGCUUUGCAGGUACCGCAUGAAUAAGGACCGGCUAAUUCCGUGCCAGCCGCCGC